AUGGCCUCGCCCUCCCAUUCGGGUGGACCAACGGCGUUCCGACAAAACCGACCUACGGCCAUGACACUCUCCCGGCCACUUCGACCGACACCCCUUCUAGGUUCAGUCCUGGAUGGCCCUGCGCCUACCAAAGGCACCAAUGGCCACCGUCGUGGCAAAACAAAAAUGGUCUCAAAUGGGGACAAAAAUGCGCCUAACAACAACUAUGAGCACACAAGGUUAUGUAUGCUUACCGGGCCAGGGUACCGCACGCCCAUAACCUUCCCUCGUUGGAGGCACCGGCGAGAGGCACGACAAUAG
rnacentral:rRNA from 1 species